rnacentral:rRNA from 1 species
GAGACUCUGUGCGCGUGCAUAUCAAUAAGCGGAGGAAAAGAAACUAACAAGGAUUCCCUUAGUAACGGCGAGUGAAGCGGGAAGAGCUCAAAUUUGAAAUUUCCAAGGUUCUACCUUGACGAAUUGUAGUUUAUAGAAGUGUUUUCUGUUAGUAGAGUGGCAAAAGUUCUUUGGAAUAGGACAUCAUAGAGGGUGAGAGUCCCGUAUUUGGUCAUUCUUUCUAGCUUUGUGAUACACUUUCAACGAGUCGGACUGUUUGGGAAUGCAGUCCAAAAUGGGUGGUAAAUUUCAUCUAAAGCUAAAUAUUGGCGAGAGACCGAUAGCGAACAAGUACCGUGAGGGAAAGAUGAAAAGAACUUUGAAAAGAGAGUUAAACAGUACGUGAAAUUGUCAAAAGGGAAGCGUUUGACACCAGUGUUGUUUUUCCGAAAAUCAAUUACGAAUGUUUUAUUUUUGAGAAGUUAUGACUUCAUCGGCUUGCUUCUCUCUUUAUGAAACUUUCUUAAUGCACUUUUCGGUUAACAAGUCAACAUCAAUUUCUUUUGUUGUAAAAGGGUAUGAGGAAGGUGGCUUUCUCUUCGGAGAAAGUGUUUAUAGCCUUGUACCUCUGCAAUCGGAGAGAUUGAGGUCUGCAGCGUAGAUCCUUCGGGGUUAGAUACAUUUGUGCUAAGUUAUAGCUUUUCAUAGACAACUUGUUGACUAUGUUUAGUCUUGUAGCUUACUCGCUUAUGCUAUUUUACCUACGCUUAGGAUGUUGACAGCAGUAUAGACUGU